CCUACGGGAGGCUGCAGUGGGGAAUAUUGGACAAUGGGCGAAAGCCUGAUCCAGCCAUGCCGCGUGUGUGAAGAAGGCCUUCGGGUUGUAAAGCACUUUCAGUGGGGAAGAAAGCCUUGGGGCUAAUACCCUCGAGGAAGGACAUCACCCACAGAAGAAGCACCGGCUAACUCCGUGCCAGCAGCCGCGGUAAUACGGAGGGUGCGAGCGUUAAUCGGAAUUACUGGGCGUAAAGCGCGCGUAGGCGGUCUGAUAAGCCGGUUGUGAAAGCCCCGGGCUCAACCUGGGAACGGCAUCCGGAACUGUCGGGCUAGAGUGCAGGAGAGGAAGGUAGAAUUCCCGGUGUAGCGGUGAAAUGCGUAGAGAUCGGGAGGAAUACCAGUGGCGAAGGCGGCCUUCUGGACUGACACUGACGCUGAGGUGCGAAAGCGUGGGUAGCAAACAGGAUUAGAUACCCCGGUAGUC
rnacentral:rRNA from 1 species